GAUGAACGCUGGCGGCGUGCCUAAUACAUGCAAGUCGAGCGAACAGACGAGGAGCUUGCUCCUCUGACGUUAGCGGCGGACGGGUGAGUAACACGUGGAUAACCUACCUAUAAGACUGGGAUAACUUCGGGAAACCGGAGCUAAUACCGGAGAAUAUAUUGAACCGCAUGGUUCAAUAGUGAAAGACGGUUUUGCUGUCACUUAUAGAUGGAUCCGCGCCGCAUUAGCUAGUUGGUAAGGUAACGGCUUACCAAGGCAACGAUGCGUAGCCGACCUGAGAGGGUGAUCGGCCACACUGGAACUGAGACACGGUCCAGACUCCUACGGGAGGCAGCAGUGGGGAAUCUUCCGCAAUGGGCGCAAGCCUGACCGAGCCACGCCGCGUGAGUGAUGAAGGUCUUCGGGUCGUAAAACCCUUUUAUUAGGGAAGAACAAAAGUGUAAGUAACCCUCGCCGUCUUGACGGUACCUAAUCAGAAAGCCCCGGCUAACUACGUG
rnacentral:rRNA from 1 species